UCUACGUGGAUUUACAGUCUCGUCCCUGCUGCGACGGCGGCUGCAACUGCAAAAUACAGUGUCCGCUCAGGCAGGGCGAGCGAUGGUUAUGAUACCAGAACCGAGGACUGGACUUUCGGUUUGGAUUUAAGGAUUCUGAUGGAGAAUCGAGCUCAGCAAAAGGACUAUCUUCACUAUAACCACACUGAUCGCUGCAGAAAUGGGAGAUGGACUGCCAGUUCUCAUCUACAGAUAGGUCAUGAUCAUUAAUGAUGCCGAGACUCCAUUGAUUUACUACAUAGCAGAGUUAAACAGAGCUUCAGUUAAAGAUGGGACUUGGAGGUGGGCUAGGGCAACAUUUAAGAUUGUUCUUUCCUUCCAUGAGGUUUCUUUUUAUGGGUGGCAAAAGCAGCCAGGCUUGAAUACUGUUCAGGGCUUGGUAUAAAGAUCUCUAGGGAAGUUUGUAGAUGAGAAGAAAGCUCAGCUGCUGAAAGAUAGAUGCUUACCAACAGUAGGAUGUGCUGUGGGUUGCUUGCUGGGCGCACUGACAAAGGGGUGACAGCUCUGCGACACGGUUUAUUCUGUAUGUCGGCUUCUUAAUCUCUGUUGACAUGAAUUUUUGCUUGGAUAUUGAAUUUCAUUACUCUUCCUUGAUUUUCUUAGAUUCUAUCUCAGCUUAAAAAUGAACUCAUAUGUUAGAAUAAAUUUUAUCUUAUAUAUUAUUUAUUGACAUCUUUAAUAGUUGUGAUGAAUAGACAUGACUUGAUUGUCAUAUCCGUUUUCUGAAAUCCACUUUUGUUGUGCUUCACUAAAACACCCAAAUAGUCAAAUAGGUGACUUUGUCCCGACUGCUCUAUGCCCAAAGUGUUGGAAGGGUAUGUCAAAUAACUUGUGAGAAUGAUGAGGACCUUGUGUCGGCUGAUAAGCCUCAAACGUUUAGUGUAAGGAGGGUCAACCAACUACUUAGGAAACGAGAAGGAAAGUUAUUGUCGUACAAGAUGUUUGCACGUGUCACCAAAGCAUCAUGAAAUGAGUGAGAAUCAUGAAUUUUACCAAUUAUUUGCUCCUUUUUUGGAAGUUAUUCUAGCUUCUAGUUUAAGUAUCAUAAUUCUUUUUCUUCUUGGUUUAAUUCUAUUUAUUGCUUUCUUCUCAUAAAGACAUUUCUUCUUAUUCUGUUUUUGUUUUAAUUCUAUUGAGCCAAUAUGAAGUUUAUGUUGCAUUAUAGGAAUUAUUGUAAUGGAGGUUGGAGUUCUGAUUCAAACUAUAUUCAGCCAAUUAGUGUACUAUUGACAGGACCAAGGAGUAGGAAGAUGUGUUUAUGUGUGUUGAGCUGUUUGAUUGCUAAUUGCUUCUUGCAGAAGGUAUCGUCUCUGGGGUUGGCUAUGCUGAAGACUAUGUUGUACCGAACGUAAAAUUGGUCUAAUUAGAUUUGGGUUAUCCGUUCUCCAACUGCUUAAAAUGGAGGGUUAACAUCUUAUACAUCGGCAAGGGAAUCUCCCUUCCGUUUGAGCAAAUGGGGAUACAACCGUUAGGCCGUAAAUGGCUCUUUCACGUUUACAUGACACUAAUUAUUAUGUCUUCUGUGGAAUCCUUGUCCUUCAGCAGUUCAGCCAAUUAUAAUGGAACGUAAUGUAAGGAUGACCUUGCAGAUGGUACGGGUGCUUGUUGCGACAGCAAUUAGAGAGGCAGUUGCUGGUGCUUGAGAGGAUGCGUUAAUACGGCUGAUUGGUGCCACAUGUCGACGUGCCACUGUGUGCCACAUGUCGACGUGCCACUGUGUGCCACAUGUCGACGUGCCACUGUACCUCCGGCGCCUCCCGAUGGCCUCAGUCUUUUUGAUGUAGGUGGAGGCUAGUUUUUGGUUAGAUCAACUGUUUCAGAGGGAUGGGCCAGAGAUUCAAGCCUCUAGCGUUUCAGGGAAGUUACUCAUACUUCAUCCAUUUGAGCUAUAUUCAAAUCUUGUUUCCAUCUAUUUGAUUGAGGAAGUAAACUAUCUGACUAAUUUACUUCAUAUCCAAUUCCCAACUGGAGAGCACAAAUGAAUUGUUUAGCGAAGCUGUUUUAAUGGUCCGCCGGUCAUGGCUGCCUUGUAAGAAGAACCGAAGCACCCACUUCCUAGGAUCUCUGCAGAGGCUUUAAGCAAGUCUGAUAAAUCAAACUUCUCCAAGUCCUCUCUU